CCUGAUAUGAUGAUCCUUAUUUUAAUGCUACAUACCAAGAUCGCAGAAUGAUCGUGUUGAAAAAAUUGUCUGAAGCU
rnacentral:snoRNA from 2 species